rnacentral:rRNA from 1 species
AUUGAACGCUGGCGGCAGGCCUAACACAUGCAAGUCGAGCGGAUGAAGGGAGCUUGCUCCUGGAUUCAGCGGCGGACGGGUGAGUAAUGCCUAGGAAUCUGCCUGGUAGUGGGGGAUAACGUCCGGAAACGGGCGCUAAUACCGCAUACGUCCUGAGGGAGAAAGUGGGGGAUCUUCGGACCUCACGCUAUCAGAUGAGCCUAGGUCGGAUUAGCUAGUUGGUGGGGUAAAGGCCUACCAAGGCGACGAUCCGUAACUGGUCUGAGAGGAUGAACAGUCACACUGGAACUGAGACACGGUCCAGACUCCUACGGGAGGCAGCAGUGGGGAAUAUUGGACAAUGGGCGAAAGCCUGAUCCAGCCAUGCCGCGUGUGUGAAGAAGGUCUUCGGAUUGUAAAGCACUUUAAGUUGGGAGGAAGGGCAGUAAGUUAAUACCUUGCUGUUUUGACGUUACCAACAGAAUAAGCACCGGCUAACUUCGUG